CAGCAGCCACGGUAAAACGGAGGGCGCGAGCGUUACCCGGAUUUACUGGGCGUAAAGGGUGCGUAGGCGGUUUGACAAGUCUUAUGUGAAAUCUCUGGGCUCAACCCAGAGUCUGCAUGGGAAACUGUCGAGCUUGAGUAUGGGAGAGGUGAGUGGAAUUUCCGGUGUAGCGGUGAGAUGCGUAGAGAUGUGGAGGAACACCAGUGGCGAAGGCGACUCUCUGGUCUGUAACUGACGCUGAGGAGCGAAAGCGUGGGGAGCGAACAGGAUUAGAUACCCGCGUAGUCCCUGUCUCUUAUAC
rnacentral:rRNA from 1 species